rnacentral:misc_RNA from 1 species
UAGAUGAAAAUAUAGACAUGGUCUAGGUCAGAAAAAUCUGACAAAAAUACACCUUGACCUCGCAUGAAAAUUUUAAAAUCCAGAACUCAGCUACCAUAAUCCCACAACAAUGGUGAAUGGGGCAUACAUGCAAAGUCAUAGUUAUGAAUGACUGUCCAGUCUAUGUGAAGUCAUGCUUAUUUAAGUGGGUGAAGAGUUGAAGCAUGCAAAAUCUAAAGUUGUCAUCAAAACAUUUACAAAAAGAUCGCUUAUGAUUACAACUGACAAGUUUAUUACACUUAAAACAAAUGCUGCAGCUUUGAUUCAUUAGUCCAUCUGCAGGAGGGAGUGACGGAGGUUGAGGGUUCAUGCUACCAAAACCAUGAUCACUGGCCAUGUAUAAUGACUGUUAUACAUUGGAAUACUUCUAGUGUGCCGCAUUUCACUCUUCUUCAAUUAGGGAGACAUGCACAAGUUGUACCAUCACUGACAAUUUUGUUGAUGGCAUCCCUAAAUUUGUAGUAAUCAUCAACCUUGUUGUAGACUUGAUGAGAAAUCCGAGCAUACCCAGUAAUAGGAUCAACCUCUCCAUCUUUUGGAGCCCUAAAAUAUAUUGGGACUUCAACCCCAAAAUUAUUCCUCAAAUGAGUUCUCAACUUCAAAGCAUCCGACUCACUGUAAAUCCCCAAACAAACAGGUAAUCCAACCAUGACCUCCAAAAUUAUUUCUCAAAUGAGUCCUCAACUUCAAAGCAUCUGACUCACUCGAAAUCCUCAAACAAGCAGGUAAUCCAACCAUGAUCAUGCUCCCACACAUCUCUGGCGGGCACCCAAGAUGAGUCCCCCAUGCCUUAACCAACAUCUCCCCCAUUUCAACAACAGCCUCAUGAUUCCUCUUCUUGAUUCCGUCAAUCCCACCUGGAAAUCUAUUGAUGAAUUCCAAAACCGAAGGAACU